AACGAACGCUGGCGGCAUGCCUAACACAUGCAAGUCGAACGAGACCUUCGGGUCUAGUGGCGCACGGGUGCGUAACGCGUGGGAACCUGCCCUUAGGUUCGGAAUAACUCCCCGAAAGGGGUGCUAAUACCGGAUAAUGUCUUCGGACCAAAGAUUUAUCGCCUUUGGAUGGGCCCGCGUUGGAUUAGCUAGUUGGUAGGGUAAAAGCCUACCAAGGCGGCGAUCCAUAGCUGGUCUGAGAGGAUGAUCAGCCACACUGGGACUGAGACACGGCCCAGACUCCUACGGGAGGCAGCAGUGGGGAAUAUUGGACAGUGGGCGAAAGCCUGAUCCAGCAAUGCCGCGUGAGUGAUGAAGGCCUUAGGGUUGUAAAGCUCUUUUACCCGGGAUGAUAAUGACAGUACCGGGAGAAUAAGCUCCGGCUAACUCCGU
rnacentral:rRNA from 1 species